rnacentral:rRNA from 1 species
GCGGGACACGUGGUAUCCUGUCUGAAUAUGGGGGGACCAUCCUCCAAGGCUAAAUACUCCUGACUGACCGAUAGUGAACCAGUACCGUGAGGGAAAGGCGAAAAGAACCCCGGCGAGGGGAGUGAAAAAGAACCUGAAACCGUGUACGUACAAGCAGUGGGAGCCUCUUAAUGGGGUGACUGCGUACCUUUUGUAUAAUGGGUCAGCGACUUAUAUUCUGUAGCAAGGUUAACCGAAUAGGGGAGCCGAAGGGAAACCGAGUCUUAACUGGGCGUUAAGUUGCAGGGUAUAGACCCGAAACCCGGUGAUCUAGCCAUGGGCAGGUUGAAGGUUGGGUAACACUAACUGGAGGACCGAACCGACUAAUGUUGAAAAAUUAGCGGAUGACUUGUGGCUGGGGGUGAAAGGCCAAUCAAACCGGGAGAUAGCUGGUUCUCCCCGAAAGCUAUUUAGGUAGCGCCUCGUGAAUUCAUCUCCGGGGGUAGAGCACUGUUUCGGCAAGGGGGUCAUCCCGACUUACCAACCCGAUGCAAACUGCGAAUACCGGAGAAUGUUAUCACGGGAGACACACGGCGGGUGCUAACGUCCGUCGUGAAGAGGGAAACAACCCAGACCGCCAGCUAAGGUCCCAAAGUCAUGGUUAAGUGGGAAACGAUGUGGGAAGGCCCAGACAGCCAGGAUGUUGGCUUAGAAGCAGCCAUCAUUUAAAGAAAGCGUAAUAGCUCACUGGUCGAGUCGGCCUGCGCGGAAGAUGUAACGGGGCUAAACCAUGCACCGAAGCUGCGGCAGCGACACUAUGUGUUGUUGGGUAGGGGAGCGUUCUGUAAGCCUGUGAAGGUGGCCUGUGAGGGGUGCUGGAGGUAUCAGAAGUGCGAAUGCUGACAUAAGUAACGAUAAAGCGGGUGAAAAGCCCGCUCGCCGGAAGACCAAGGGUUCCUGUCCAACGUUAAUCGGGGCAGGGUGAGUCGACUCCUAAGGCGAGGCCGAAAGGCGUAGUCGAUGGGAAACAGGUUAAUAUUCCUGUACUUGGUGUUACUGCGAAGGGGGGACGGAGAAGGCUAUGUUGGCCGGGCGACGGUUGUCCCGGUUUAAGCGUGUAGGCUGGUUUUCCAGGCAAAUCCGGAAAACCAAGGCUGAGGCGUGAUGACGAGGCACUACGGUGCUGAAG